UUGGAGGGCAAGUCUGGUGCCAGCAGCCGCGGUAAUUCCAGCUCCAAUAGCGUAUAUUAAAGUUGUUGCAGUUAAAAAGCUCGUAGUUGAAUUUCGGGAUCAGAUUGUCGGUCGUGCCUCGGUACGCACUGGUAUUAUUGGUUCCUACCUUCUGAAGAACCGCGAUGUCAUUAAUUUGGUGUCGUGGGGAAUCAGGACUGUUACUUUGAAAAAAUUAGAGUGUUUAAAGCAGGCUUACGCUUGAAUACAUUAGCAUGGAAUAAUGAAAUAGGACGUUUGAUUCUAUUUUGUUGGUUUCUAGGAUCGACGUAAUGAUUAAUAGGGAUAGUUGGGGGCAUUAGUAUUCAAUUGUCAGAGGUGAAAUUCUUGGAUUUAUUGAAGACUAACUACUGCGAAAGCAUUUGCCAAGGAUGUUUUCAUUAAUCAAGAACGAAAGUUAGGGGAUCGAAGACGAUCAGAUACCGUCGUAGUCUUAACCAUAAACUAUGCCGACUAGGGAUCGGAUGAUGUUAAUUUUUUAAUGACUCAUUCGGCGCCUUACGGGAAAC
rnacentral:rRNA from 1 species